AUAAACAUAAAAAAAAAAAAAAAAAAAAAAAAGUAAAGAGUUGGUGACCAUUGAUAUUGCUAAGAAUGAUUUUGUUGGAAGCAUACCUUCUUGGAUAGGACAUAAACUUUCCAGCUUGGUGAUUCUUAAACUUCGUUCAAAUAAUUUUUAGGAUUACAUCCUAGAAGAACUAUGUUCUCUAACAUCACUCCAAAUCUUGGACCCUUCACAUAAUAAGCUAUUUAGAAGCAUACCUAGAUUUGUCCACAAUUUUAGUGCCAUGGCCACAAGAACCAAUUCAGAUUAUCCCUUUUAUUUAUAUCAAACAUCAACAGGAUAUAAUUCUUAUAAUAUUUUGCAUUAAUAAUUAAUGAUAAUUUCUGUAUUUCUUCUAGUAAGGAGUUUUCUCUCGAACUAAUAAGUUUGAUGGCAAUGCAUUCCAAAUUCUCACUAUUAAAAUUGUCUUCAGUGUUCAUGCCACCAGGUUUCUGGUUCAACAUUCAGGUAAAUAAAAGAUCACAAUUCCUUCUUAAAUUUUUGAUUGGAUCUUCUUUCUUCUUAUCAUUGGUAAGAUGUUUCUCUAAACAUGUAGGAUCUAUUUGCUCAGUUAUCAUUUGACCCACCCUGUUGUUCUAAUACUUGUGCAGAAUUAUCAAUUCUUCGCUCAACACAAUUUGAGUAUGAGAAACUUUAUACUUUCUGUAUCUUAAAGUGUAAUUGUUAAAAUUAUAUUUCACCCCCAGAGGUUGCUUUCCUAAGAAGAAUUACUGUGUGAUUUAAUUCAAAAUGGCAAAAUUGGUCUUUCAGUUCCUAGGAUAAGAUGAGACUGAGCCUUCAACCAACCAGACUUAUGGUCUCUCUUAAAGAAUCUUAAAUUUGUCAAGAUAUUUGCCUCUGUAAAUCUUGUUCUCAAGGCUUACUUAUGGCAUGUAGAUAAAACUGAUUAUUUACUAGGUCAUGAAGAAGAGCUAGAAGAUUUUGCAAAUGAUGUUCCACUUAGUGUCAGUUGCAGUUGUGAUCCAGUAACUCAGUUCUUGAAUUACAUUGACAAAGGCAACUUCUUUGUUAAUGGUGUGCUAGCCGACGUCCCACUUAUACUCCAUCAGAGGCUAUAGAUUUCUUUGCUCAUCUAGACCAAAAUGCUUCAGCACAAGUGAAUCCUUUGGUUAUCUCUAAAUAUGGAGCAAGUGAAGAUUACCUUGGUUGUAUAGAUUUAACACAUACAAAAGCUAUUUCAAUCAUGUAGGCAUACUUGACUGUCUUGUUCGAUUGGCAAAGGAUGGGACUCAGUUUGCUUUACUUAAUUUUUUUGUAAGAAUUCCUGUGCAAUAUAAUUAGGUGGAAUGGUAAUUAUAUUGGUCAAAUUUGGUCUAGGGGGCUCUGGUGUGCAGAAUCAUCUUCAGCUCUUUUGCACAGGACAUUGCAGAGAUCAAGGAACUCUUGAAGCAGAAAGGAGGUGAUGUUGACUGUUGAAGAGAUUUUCUAUGACGUUUUUGAAGAGCCAGAGUUAUUUUAAGACAGUUUCAAUAUAAAUCAAAACUUAAGGUACGGAUUGGAUGGUAAAUUGUGUGGAUUUGAGGAGAUACAAUUUGCUUAUUGCUAUCUAAAAUUUUGAUUCUUAUCUGAAACUAAGGAUGCAAGAUUUGUUGGAUGAAGAUAUGCAGUUCUUAAUUAAAGAGAACCUUAUGACUGAUUUAAUUGACUUGAAUUAUUUGGUAGAGUAGAAUGAUGAACAUAUGUAAUUGGUAUUAGUUGCCAACCACCUCUAUGGUCGUCAUCAAAGGAGUCGCUUGUGUUCACUAGCAGUCAGUAGUAAAAGCAAAGUACAGAUUUCAAUCAGGCAACCUCGAUGGUUUAUCUUAUUUGUUUUUUCUUCUACAAGAUACCUAGGGUAUCUUAUCCUAAUGCCUUGCUUUCAAAACCUAAAAAACCAAAAAUGAAAAAUACAUGAGGACCAACACAAAAUAAGUUGUAAAUGAAAAUAAGGGAAAAAAAAGAGAGAGGGACUCCCUGUCAACAAUAACUUAACAAUUAUUUUAGGUUUUUUUUUUUUUUAAUAAGUAAGACUUGUUAAUUUCAUCUUUCUCGAAUUCCUAUAUGCAUGCUAGCAUAGAACAAACAUAGAAGCAAGUCUUUUUGAUCCAUCUUUAUUUUGAAUGUGUGAUAGAAUUUCACUGUCACAAAAGUUUUUGAAUUUUGACACUUACACAAUCU